rnacentral:misc_RNA from 1 species
AGAUGCCACAUCAAUUGCAAUAUUUAGUCUUUGAAGAAAAUUCAAGUUUCCUGCAGGCUGAUGCAACCAGUUCUCCAGGCUUCCCAUGCCCAUGAAUUCAAAAAUUAGAGCUUUGAAUUCGUUGUUUUUGUAAUCCAAGCUCGAGCAAUAUGUUAAUAGCUUAACAAGAUUCCGAUGCCUAACAUUCCUUAACACUUCGCAUUCUGCAAUGAAGCUCUUGGAUGCUCGUUCUUGUCGAAGUUUGAGCACCUUGAUAGCCACUGGCCUUUCUCUUUCAAUAUUAAGAAAUCCUUUGUAUACAGAACCAAAGCCGCCAGAUCCAAUUAAAUUGUUGGAAGAGAAUCCACUUGUUGCCUGAUGAAGAUCCCUGUAAGACACCUUCACAUGGUGUUUAUCCGCCAUUGAGGAAGGUGUAGGGGAUGAUCGCUUUCUCGACAUUCUUACUCGACAAGCAAGAAUCAGGAUCGCUAGCAUCAAAAGGACACCCAAAACCACACAAGUAAUUGUUAUUGCUAGCUUAGAAGCAUGGGACUUCCCUUUCUUCAUCACUUGAGAAGGGCACUUUGGUAGACCCAGUUCUGUUACUCCACCACAAAGCUUGGCAUUUCCGAUCAGUGACAAUGCACUUGCAUUUCUGAAAAGUCCUUUGGUUGGAACUUCACCCUCAAAAUUGUUAAAAGAAAGAUUCAAAUAUUGUAAAAAUGGAAGCCUCUGCAAGCCUUCUGGAAAUUUUCCUGUCAAGUUGUUUCGCGAAAGAUCUAAUUCCUGAAGGCCUCUCAAAGAGGCCAUAGAUGAAGGUAUGCCUCCUUGAAAAGAAUUUGCACGCAUAUUAAGAUAUUCCAAGCUCAAGCAAUCACCAAUGGUUGUCGGAAUUUCACCUGAAAGGUUGUUUCCCGAAACAUCCAGUUGAUUUAAAUUUAUAAGCUUCCCUACUCCAUCUGGUAGAUUGCCAGUUAGCGAAUUUUGUUUCAAAUUUAGUAAUAUUGAUAAGGAAAAAAGGCCUGUUAUCUCUUGGGGAAUAUGCCCAGUGAGGUGAUUUCUUGCCACAUUUAAAAGCAUCAAACUUGUGCAGUUUCCAAUACUUGAAGGAAGGCUUCCUUCAAAUUUGUUUUGUGACAACUGAAGGAUAGACAAUCGAGUGAGGUUGCCUAAAGAGGAUGGAAUUAGACCUGACAAUCUGUUUCCCCACAAAAGCAAUCCUUGCAGUUUCCAGAACUUGCCAAUAAAUGACGGAAUGACACCUAUGAAAAAGUUAUGCUCCAUGCCCAGAUCUAUCAAGUUGAUGAGAUUUCCUAAUGCUGCAGGAAUAACUCCGGUGAGUUGAUUACCUCCAAAAUAUAAACUGUUGAGUUUAAUGGAUAAAUUGGCUAUAGAAUUUGGUAAAACACCUCCAAAAUAAUUAUAACCAAUAUCCAAGACUUCCAAAUUGCUGCAGUUUUUCAAAGGUGUAAAAAAUGCUAAGUCAUUUGCUGAGUUGAUUCCUAGAUUAUUCUGGGAAACAACUAGCCACAACAGAUUUAAGUGACUUCCUAGAUUUGGAACUUGACCCUCAAAAUUGUUUAUAGAAACAUCGAAUUUCUGCAAAUUGGAAGCAUUGGAUAAUGAAUAUGGGAUUGAACCAGAGAAGCCAUUUCCACCAAUGUGAAGAUUUUGGAGAUUCGGCAGAGUGAGGCCUAUAUUCCGUGGUAUACUUCCAUUAAGUUGGUUGCUUGCAGUUGAAAAGGUAAUGAUAGACGAGAUAUUAAAAAGAGAUGAAGUUAUAAUACCAGAUAGAUGAUUUGCUGCAACCGAGAAAAAUGUUAAGCUUAUCAGUCUUCCCAUGUCAGCUGGAAUAUUUCCUACCAAAUUAUUUCUCAGAACAGAAAAUCUGGUGAGAGAUGAAAGGUUGCCAAGGGAAGGU